UUAGGAGUCCUAUGGAGUUUUGU
rnacentral:piRNA from 1 species